UACGUUUACGCCGGCGUUCCUACUUGCUGAGAUACCUGAGUCUUCAUCACAGCCGAGCCAGAAUGCAUACAUGGAGGAGCGUGAUAACGUCGAUUGGGCGGCGUUACGCGCUUCAUUAGCUGAUGAGCGGCCUGUGAGGAAUUUAGAGGGAGCCAGGAUUCUUGACUUCGAUGAGUUUUGAUCUCGGAUUCGGCGCCAGCGGGUCCACCAGAGCCACCCACUUAGGCGUUUUCUCAUGGGCCUGCCGAGCCAGCGGUGUCUUCCGAUGUGACUGUCGAGCCACAGGAUUCGGCGCCAGUGGGUCCGCAGGAGCGACCUAUUCAGGAGCAUUCUCAUUGGCCUGCCGAAGCAGAGGUGUCUUCUCAUGUGACUGUCGAG